GGGGUCGUAGCUCAACUUGGUUAGAGUAUCGGACUGUCGAUCCGAGGGUUGCGGGUUCGAGUCCCGUCGGCCCCGCCA
rnacentral:tRNA from 1 species